UACGGAGGGUGCAAGCGUUGUCCGGAAUCACUGGGCGUAAAGGGCGCGUAGGCGGCUCAUGAAGGCUGUGGUGAAAGUCCGGGGCUCAACCCCGGGCCUGCAGUGGGUACGGGCAGACUAGAGUGCGGUAGGGGAGAAUGGAAUUCCUGGUGUAGCGGUGAAAUGCGCAGAUAUCAGGAGGAACACCGAUGGCGAAGGCAGAUCUCUGGGCCGUAACUGACGCUGAGGCGCGAAAGCCAGGGGAGCGAACGGG
rnacentral:rRNA from 1 species